rnacentral:rRNA from 1 species
UUACACAUGCAAGUCGAACGAUGACUCUCUAGCUUGCUAGAGAUGAUUAGUGGCGGACGGGUGAGUAACAUUUAGGAAUCUACCUAGUAGUGGGGGAUAGCUCGGGGAAACUCGAAUUAAUACCGCAUACGACCUACGGGUGAAAGGGGGCGCAAGCUCUUGCUAUUAGAUGAGCCUAAAUCAGAUUAGCUAGUUGGUGGGGUAAAGGCCCACCAAGGCGACGAUCUGUAACUGGUCUGAGAGGAUGAUCAGUCACACCGGAACUGAGACACGGUCCGGACUCCUACGGGAGGCAGCAGUGGGGAAUAUUGGACAAUGGGGGCAACCCUGAUCCAGCCAUGCCGCGUGUGUGAAGAAGGCCUUUUGGUUGUAAAGCACUUUAAGCAGGGAGGAGAGGCUAAUGGUUAAUACCCAUUAGAUUAGACGUUACCUGCAGAAUAAGCACCGGCUAACUCUGUGCCAGCAGCCGCGGUAAU